rnacentral:rRNA from 1 species
AAGCUGGAAUCGCUAGUAAUCGCGAAUCAGAAUGUCGCGGUGAAUACGUUCCCGGGUCUUGUACACACCGCCCGUCACACCAUGGGAGUCGGUAACGCCCGAAGCCUGUGACCCAACCGAAUGGAGGGAGCAGUCGAAGGUGGGACCGGUGACUGGGGUGAAGUCGUAACAAGGUACC